AUUUUCAUAGAUGACCAGCAGGGGCAAAUAAUAAUCACAGUGGUUGUCGAGGGUGCAACAGGUCAGCACCUCAGCAGUAAAUGUCAGGUGGCUUUUCAUAGCUGAUCAUUAAGAGUAUCUCUACCGCCAUUACGACAACCUCUUUUACGAGUUGAUUGGGUAGCUGGGUGAACGGAAUCAGGUGCAGCUUGUAUAAUUAGUACAGCUCAUCGGUUCUUUAAAAAAAAAUAUCCAAAACGUGGUCAAUGGCCCAACCCUCUUCAAUUCCCUAUUUAAUUCCCAUCACGCCUGCCAUACUGGUUCCUAGAUAGUUAUAUUCGUUUUGCGAGUACGUAAAAUCUGUUCAUUGCCUGCCUCCCCCCCCAAUUUUAGCGUAAUAAUUUAAAGAGCUUAGUGUUCUUAAAGCCUUUGUGUGCUUAGACAUACUUUCAAAAGCCUUUGAAAAUUCAGUCAAACAAAUAUACAUGAUAUGGAAACAACCGCGUCUACAGCACAGCAUGCAUUUGGAGCGGGCCCUCGUGGGCCCAACCCAGCCCAUGGACCUCAACCGGGCCAGGGCCCCCGACACCCAGGUCAUCCUGGACCUUACGGAGUUCCACGUCCCGAGGACCAGCCCCCACACCAGCAACACCAGCAGCCCCAUCACCACAUCCAGCACAGCAGACCAUUCUUCUACAUACACCCUUCCCAGCCAUACCCUUCCCAGCCAUUUCCUUCCCAGCCAUUUCCUUCCCAGCCAUUUCCUUCCCAGCCAUUUCCUUCCCAGCCAUUUCCUUCCCAGCCAUUUCCUUCCCAGCCAUUUCCUUCCCAGCCAUUUCCUUCCCAGCCAUUUCCUUCCCAGCCAUUUCCUUCCCAGCCAUUUCCUUCCCAGCCAUUCCCUUCCCAGCCAUUCCCCUCUGCUCUACCCUAUCAGUGGCCCAUGCCAUACAACCCUUACUGCGGCUUCCCUGGGAUGGGAGGUUAUGGUAUGAUGAUACCGAGUCCCUUCCAGCCCAGUCCCUACAUGGAGCCUCCAGGUUACAUCCUGCCACACUCUCAGCUCCACCUGGCGGACUACAGGCGUAUGAUCAACCCCCACUACCACACUACCCACUACCCACAGACCAUGGCUUACCAUGCACGCAGGUUCCGCUACCAGCACAAUGCCCCAGCCACCAGCAGGGAGAUGAUCAACUCUGAGGUACAGACUGAGCCCACAUUAGGAGCAGCACGCUCUGACCCCAAACUCUCUAACGCUGACUCGUCUAUGAAAAGUAAUGUCCAAACCAACUCUGAAUCUGGCAGCGACACCAGUUGCACAGCUGCCCAGUCACUAUCCCCAGCCUCUGCUGUGCAGGAGGUGAUGUCUAAAUCACCAGCUUACCAGGAUGUUGUAUUGGCACCCACCCCCAACAACACUCCUAUUUCCACCAGGUCUGCUGCACCCCAGAAGGGUAGCUUUGUGUUCCAGACAGAGGUGGAGGAAUUGAGGCUGGAGUGCCGCAGCACGCCCACAGGAUUAAAUAUCCUCCACUCCCAUGAGACAUCUGAACUGUGCACCGCCCACAGCGUGUCUGCGACCGAUGAAGACUUGGUACAGCUCUGCUCUUCCUCCUCCCUCCACCACAAGGUCUCACAGGGCACGAUGCUCCAUGGCCAGGAGGGGAUGGGUUUGGUUGGGGAGGAGGGGGAUCAGUGUCUCCAGCAAGCCUGCACGGAUAUACUUCUAAUGGAUGGGGCAUGCUCGAGUGGCGGACCAGAUAACUUCCUUGCUCUUGACGAUUGUGACUCAUUCAUCGCUAAAACACUGGCCGAACGACCAGGGAAUUCUGAAUCCGAUAUGGACUACAGAGUGGUGGUCCAAAGCCACACCGCAGAUGGUCCUCAAUUUACAAGUGAUGAAGGAGAACUGAGCUCCAAGAGUGUCUAUUUUAAGAUCCUCCACCUGCCCUUUGACAUGCAGUACUUAGAAGAGCUGAGGAAGAUUGAGGCGUCUGUGUGGUCGGCGUCUCUGGCACCGUACGUCCCCUCAGCAGAGUUUAUGAUCCAGCAGGGCCUGAUGGAGCCACACAGGGAGGCACUGAGCCCUGUGGUCAUGGAGGAAGUCCCCAUGGUGGAGGAAGUCCCCACGGCAGAGGUGGUCCCCAUGGUGGAGGUUGAGGUCCCUGGGGCGGAGAAGGUCCCCACAGCUGAGGUGGUCUCUCUAGUGGAGGGAAUCCCCAUUGCGGAGAGCCCUUCGAAUGAAAAUGUUUUAUUGGCAGAGAUGGUCCUCAAUGUGAUGGAGGUACCUGUAAUAUCCAGUCCUAACAAAACAGACAAUGCGCCCAUGUCUCCAGAGACCAGUCAAAAGAGGGGUGCGGUGAGUGACCUUGAUCAUCAGGAUACCUCCUUUGGGGGGUUACCCACGUACCGUCCCUCAACUAGCUGGCUGGGCGACUUUGGCAACGUCUACUAUCACAGCAAGAUGCCUUCUGAUGUUGAGGCGCAGCGCAAGAUCCUCAGAGGCAGCCCACUUAAGGUGUCUAGCCCCAAACGGAAACCAAACCAUGACCAAGAGCCUAAAGAUCCUCAUUGUGUUUCAGUCACUACAACCGCUCCACUCAGGCUUAAGGGAGAGGGAUGCAGACCCGGAGACAAGGUUGACAGGAGGAGCUACUCUGAUCAAGAGUUCUGUGCGAACCGGACCUUCAAUGUGACCUCUGGUGGCCACAAAAGGGAGCGCAUCUGUGCCAGAUGUUUGACGACAAAAUGCAGAGUAAACAAGAGACCUGGCAGUCCAGGUCCAGGCCUGGAUGCUCCGAUUGUAAAACGACAAGGGGUCCCCGUUCCACCAUGGGAGGAAUAUAUCCUAGCCCAGACUUGUGCAGCCUGCAAAUGCCUUGCCCGGAGGCGGGUAACGAGGAAAGGUUCCGGUUCAGAUGUUCCCAGCGGACCACAAAACGAAGAGACGGAGGGUGAGACCUCUGAGAACAGUUCUUGUCGGGCAGGACCGGGGCCCAAACUGAGGGACCCCAGGAGGCCUCAGUCCUCCAUGAAGCGCCACUCUGAGAAGUGUCCCAUGGGUCCACACUCAAAACUGAGGGAGAAGAACUGUUCCUGUGAAGAGCCCCAUCGGCCCCCCGCUGCUGUGUUGGGGGGGCCACGCCGCCAUCCCCAUGGCGAUGUCACCAGGGAGCGAAAUGAGGAGAACCUUGGCGUGUGCGUCUCUGUCCCACUUCAGGACAAAUGGAGAAACCAACACCAGGACCAAUGCUACCUCGCGGCACAGAAAUCUCAACAAGAGAAGUUGUGGAAAGCGGCUUUGGCCAACCCUGACAACACUGAAAGUAAUAUUAAGCUCGGACCCAGAGACUUGAUUAAACAGAAGAAACAGGUUUCUCAAUCACAAGGACUUCACAGAAAAGACACAAGAUGCUAA
rnacentral:lncRNA from 1 species